rnacentral:rRNA from 1 species
GUGGCGGACNGGUGAGUAAUGUCUGGGGNUCUGCCCGAUAGAGGGGGAUAACCACUGGAAACGGUGGCUAANNCCGCAUAANNUCGCAAGACCAAAGAGGGGGACCUUCGGGCCUCUCACUAUCGGAUGAACCCAGAUGGGAUUAGCUAGUAGGCGGGGUAAUGGCCCACCUAGGCGACGAUCCCUAGCNGGUCUGAGAGGAUGACCAGCCACACUGGAACUGAGACACGGUCCAGACUCCUACGGGAGGCAGCAGUGGGGAAUAUUGCACAAUGGGCGCAAGCCUGAUGCACCCAUGCCGCGUGUAUGAAAAAAGCCUUCGGGUUGUAAAGUACUUUCAGCGGGGAGGAAGGCGAUGGGGUUAAUAACCCCGUCGAUUGACGUUACCCGCAGAAAAAACACCGGCUAACUCCGUGCCACCACCCGCGGUAAUACGGAGGGUGCAAGCGUUAAUCGGAAUUACUGGGCGUAAAGCGCACGCAGGCGGUCUGUUAAGUCAGAUGUGAAAUCCCCGGGCUUAACCUGGGAACUGCAUUUGAAACUGGCAGGCUUGAGUCUUGUAGAGGGGGGUAGAAUUCCAGGUGUAGCGGUGAAAUNNNUAGAGAUCUGGAGGAAUACCGGUGGCGAAGGCGGCCCCCUGGACAAAGACUGACGCUCAGGUGCGAAAGCGUGGGGAGCAAACAGGAUUAGAUACCCUGGUAGUCCACGCCGUAAACGAUGUCGACUUGGAGGUUGUUCCCUUGAGGAGUGGCUUCCGGAGCUAACGCGUUAAGUCGACCGCCUGGGGAGUACGGCCGCAAGGUUAAAANUCAAAUGAAUUGACGGGGGCCCGCACAAGCGGUGGAGCAUGUGGUUUAAUUCGAUGCAACGCGAAGAACCUUACNNACUCUUGACNAUC